rnacentral:rRNA from 1 species
AGAGUUCAAUCCUGGCUCAGGAUGAAUGUUGGUAGCAUGCUUAACACAUGUAAGUUGGACGGGAAGUGGUAUUUCCAAUGGCAGAUGGUGAGUAACGCGUAAGAACCUGCCCUUGGGAGGGGAACAACAGUUGGAAAUGGCUGCUAAUACCCCGUAGGCUAAGGAGCAAAAGGAGGAAUCUACUCGAGGAGGGGCUCACAUCUGAUUAGCUAGUUGGUGAGGCAAUAGCUUACCAAGGUGAUGAUCAGCCACACUGGGACUAAGACACGGCCCAGACUCCUACAAGAGGCAACAGUGGGGAAUUUUCUGCAAUGGGCGAAAGCGUAACGAAGCAAUGCCACAUGGAGGUAGAAGGCCUACAGGUUAUGAACGUCUUUUCCCAGAGAAGAAACAAUGACGGUAUCUGGGGAAUAAGCAUCGGCUAACUCUGUUCCAGUAGCCGUGGUAAUACAGAGGAUGAAAGCGUUAUCCAGAAUGAUUGGGCGUAAAGCGUCUGUAGGUGGCUUUUAAGUUUGUCAUCAAAUUCCAGGGCUCAACCCUGGACAGGCGGUGGAAACUACCAAGCUGGAGUACGGUACGGGUAGAGGGAAUUUCUGUUGGAGCGCUGAAAUGCAUAGAGAUCAGAAAGAAAACCAAUGGAAAAAGCACUCUGUUGGGCCGACAUUGACACUGAGAGACGAAAGCUAGGGGAGCAAAUGGGAUUAGAUACCCCAGUAGUCCUAGCCGUAAAUGAUGGAUACUGGGCGCUGUGCGUAUCGACCCGUGCAGUGCUAUAGCUAAUGCAUUAAGUAUCCCGCCUUAAGAGUACAUUCGCAAGAAUGAAACUUAAAGGAAUUGGCAGGGGCCCGCACAAGUGGUGCAGCAUGUGGUUUAAUUCGAUGCAAAGCGAAGAACUUUACCAGGGCUUGACAUGCUGAGAAUCCUCUUGAAAGAGAGGGGUGCCUUCAGGAACGCGGACACAGGUGGUGCAUGGCUAUCGUCAGCUCGUGCCGUAAGGUGUUGGGUUAAGUCCCAUAACAAGUGCAACCCUCGUGUUUAGUUGCCACCGUUGAGUUUGGAACCCUGAGCAAACUGUCGGUGAUAAGCCGGACGAAGGUGAGAAUGUCGUCAAGUCAUCAUGCCUCUUAGGCCCUAGGUGACACACAUGCUACAAUGGCCGGGACAAAGGGUUCGCGAUCCCGUGAAGGUGAGCUAACUCCAAAAACCCAUCCUCAGUUUGGAUUGUAGGCUGCAACUCGCCUACAUGAAGCCAGAAUCCCUAGUAAUCGCCGGUCAGCCAUACGAUGGUGAAUUCGUUCCCGAGCCUUGUACACACCACCCAUCACACUAUGGGAGCUGGCCAUGCCUGAAGUCAUUACCUUAACCACAAGGAGGGGGAUGCCGAAGGCAGGGCUAGUGAUAGGAGUGAAGCUGUAACAAGGAAGCCGUACAGGAAGGUGCGGCUG